CUGGACGAGGCCCUGCUGUGGAGGACUGCGUCUACCUUUCGGCAUUAGUUCAAAACUCACGACCCCUAGUAUGGGGUGCAAGGGGUCGAGUGUUCGAAUCACUCCGUCCCGACCA
rnacentral:tRNA from 1 species